rnacentral:rRNA from 1 species
AGUGAACGCUGGCGGUAGGCCUAACACAUGCAAGUCGAACGGCAGCACAGUAAGAGCUUGCUCUUACGGGUGGCGAGUGGCGGACGGGUGAGGAAUACAUCGGAAUCUACUUUUUCGUGGGGGAUAACGUAGGGAAACUUACGCUAAUACCGCAUACGACCUACGGGUGAAAGCAGGGGAUCUUCGGACCUUGCGCGAUUGAAUGAGCCGAUGUAGGAUUAGCUAGUUGGCGGGGUAAAGGCCCACCAAGUCGACGAUCCGUAGCUGGUCUGAGAGGAUGAUCAGCCACACUGGAACUGAGACACGGUCCAGACUCCUACGGGAGGCAGCAGUGGGGAAUAUUGGACAAUGGGCGCAAGCCUGAUCCAGCCAUACCGCGUGGGUGGAGAAGGCCUUCGGGUUGUAAAGCCCUUUUGUUGGGAAAGAAAAGCAGCAGGUUAAUACCCCGCUGUUCUGACGGUACCCAAAGAAUAAGCACCGGCUAACUUCGUG